CAGGUGUGUGGGGGAUCAUACACAAUGAUGGUGGCUUUGUGAAUACAGAGUUUGUGGGAAAUGUCCUUGAAGGUGGGGAAAGAAACAGUGGUCCUGCAGCUAACAUGGGUCAUAACUGAUUAACCACAACAAAAACAAACAACUGACAGGUGUCUAUCCACCAAAUAUUUCACUAGCACCCUCCAAUGGCAGCAUCCUCCUAUUGCAGGACAGCGCAUCUUGCCACUCCACAAAGCUGCUCUGGACACUUAAUUUGCAUAAAUCAAACUCCUCAGAUCCCAACCUGAACAUUCACGAAGGAGCCAGAAUAGAUCAUCCACAGUGGACACACCAACAAGACCAAAGGGCUCAUGUUCAUGCAUUAAUGGGCCAGAACUGAACUGUGUACAAAUGAUGGAUGUAAUGUAAAUGUGUCAGUCUCUAAAGCGCUUUGGUUCACCUUCUGUGGUUUAUAUGUGCUAGAUUGCCGGUUCAAGCCCCAGCUUGGACAGUCUCGGUCGUUGUGUCCUUGGGCAAGACACUUCACUCGUUGCCUACUGGUGGUGGUCAGAGAGCCCGGUGGCGCCAGUGUCCGGCAGCCUCACCUUUGUCAGUGCGCCCCAGGGUGGCUGUGGCUACAAUGUAGCUUGCCAUCACCAGUGUGUGAAUGUAUGUGUGAAUGUGUGGAUGACUGGAUGUGUAAAGCGCUUUGGGGUCCUUAGGGACUAGUAAAGCGCUAUACAAAUACAGGCCAUUUAUACAUACAUGCCACCAUAUUGCUGAAAGAUAUUUCUUUUUAAUUUGCUACCCUACUUUACAUAUAAAAUUGGCUUUGCUUUCAGAAUAAUGCAGAAUCUGGAUUAAAUAGUAUUACCUAACAGUUCACUUGCUAACACCACCUCAACUUUUUAAAAUUGUAGUUAUAAUUUGGUUCUUGGUGUUUACUCCAUGGUAAUUGGUAAUUACUCCGUGGUAAUUUUACAAAACACAUUAUGAUGUUACAUAAAGCUACGAGACAUGUUCUGUUUACCAGACGCAUCAGGCACAUCAAAGUUCACUCAGAUUAACCAAAUCAAUAACAGUCUUAACUUCUGUAUCCAGUACAGACUCACUGGAGUAUACUGCACUUUGUUAGGUGCACUGGUUUGACUGAUUCUUAAGGUGAUUCUCUAAUCAGCCAAUCUCAUGGCUGCAACUACAUGCAUAGACAUGUAGACCAUAUCUAAAUGUCCAGGCACAUAGCCAAGGC
ensembl:lncRNA